rnacentral:rRNA from 1 species
CUACGGCCAUACCACCCUGAACACGCCCGAUCUCGUCUGAUCUCGGAAGCUAAGCAGGGUGGGCCUGUUAGUACUUGGAUGGGAGACCUCCUGGGAAUACUGGGUGCUGUAGG